CAUUUUUGAUGCAAACCACUAUUUGCAACAAUUGCAUUUCGCAAAGUAGCUCAACUCUGAAUCAAAAGCUACAGAUUUUGUGUUAAAUGUACAUUUAGACCUCGAGCAGAUCAUUUUUAUGCUUUAUUCGAUCUAAACCAUUCCAUUUCAUGUUAAGGUCUUUGUCCUCCUUCCUGAAUUAGCUUCAUUCCCAAUCAGAUUUCCAUUUGUUGUUAGGUCUGCAGUUGGUCUAUUUUCUCACACUGCUCUGUGAGAUGCUCAAAGUGGGCUGGUGAUAUUGUUUUAGCAGCUAAUGCUGCUUUAAACCUCCACACGUUUCCCACUGACAUCUCUGCUGGGUUGCUAGGUCUUCAUAAUCUAAAAAAAAAAAA